rnacentral:rRNA from 1 species
AACGUAGGACGCAGACGUUAUCCGGAAUUACUGGGCGUAAAGAGCUCGUAGGCGGUGUGUCGCGUCGGCCGUGAAAACUUGCAGCUUAACUGUGGGCGUGCGGUCGAUACGGGCAUCACUGGAGUUCGGCAGGGGAGACUGGAAUUCCUGGUGUAGCGGUGAAAUGCGCAGAUAUCAGGAGGAACACCGGUGGCGAAGGCGGGUCUCUGGGCCGAUACUGACGCUGAGGAGCGAAAGCGUGGGGAGCGAACAGG